AGAGGGGAGGAGGAAUGAACUCGGGUUGGCCAUGUAAACGCCCAACCGCUGUGCUGGCUGCCUAGGCGGGAGUCCCCUUCCUCCCUCACAGCUCCAUGUGCGUCUCUCCCGAAGCUGUGCGCUUGGUCAAAGAGAUCGGCCUUCCCCGAAUAGAGACGGACCAAACUGAUAUUCAGGAAUAACCUGUUGUAAGAGAUCCAUUAGACAAGCUAUAGAAAAGGAUGUGGGGUUUUUAUUC
rnacentral:sRNA from 1 species